CCUACGGGAGACUGCAGUGGGGAAUAUUGGGCAAUGGGCGCAAGCCUGACCCAGCAACGCCGCGUGAAGGAAGAAGGCUCUCGGGUUGUAAACUUCUUUUAUCAGGGACGAAGCAAGUGACGGUACCUGAUGAAUAAGCCACGGCUAACUACGUGCCAGUAGCCGCGGUAAUACGUAGGGGGCAAGCGUUAUCCGGAUUUACUGGGGGUAAAGGGCGUGUAGGCGGGAAAGCAAGUCAGAUGUGAAAACCAUGGGCUCAACCUGUGGCCUGCAUUUGAAACUGUUUUUCUUGAGUACUGGAGAGGCAGACGGAAUUCCUAGUGUAGCGGUGAAAUGCGUAGAUAUUAGGAGGAACACCAGUGGCGAAGGCGGUCUGCUGGACAGCAACUGACGCUGAGGCGCGAAAGCGUGGGGAGCAAACAGGAUUAGAUACCCGAGUAGUC
rnacentral:rRNA from 1 species